rnacentral:misc_RNA from 1 species
GGUUAUUUUGCUUGUUAAACUUUCAUGUAAUUUCUCUUCUAUAAUACUAUGAAUUGAGAGGAACUUUUGUCUUUUGGAAAAUGUGUUCAAUAAUGGGACACGUGUGUAACUAGAUGAGUUAUCUUUUAGCCUUAAUUACUUACAUGCCAUAACUGUUAUUUAGAUAUUAAGAAACUCUAGCUUAGACCUGAUUUAAUAUAAAUUAAAUACAUAAGAUGUAUA